CCCUUAGAUGUUCUGGGCCGCACGCGCGCUACACUGACGAAGUCAGCGAGCAUGUCCUACGCCGACAGGUGCGGGGAAUCUUGUCAAACUUCGUCGUGAUGGGGAUUGAUUAUUGAAAUUCUUGAUCAUCAACGAGGAAUUCCUAGUAAGCGCAAGUCAUCAGCUUGCAUUGAUUACGUCCCUGCCCUUUGUACACACCGCCCGUCGCUCCUACCGAUUGAAUGCUCAGGUGAGCCAUUCGGACUUUCAUCAUGCUGGUUUCCAGUUUUGAUGAAGGAAAGUCUUGCGAACCUUAUCAUUUAGAGGAAGGAGAAGUCGUAACA
rnacentral:rRNA from 1 species